rnacentral:rRNA from 1 species
AUUGAACGCUGGCGGCAUGCCUAACACAUGCAAGUCGAACGGCAGCGCGGGUAGCAAUACCUGGCGGCGAGUGGCGGACGGGUGAGGAAUACAUAGGAAUCUACCCUGUCGUGGGGGAUAACGUAGGGAAACUUACGCUAAUACCGCAUACGACCGAGAGGUGAAAGCGGCGGACCGCAAGGCGUCGCGCGACUGGAUGAGCCUAUGUCCGAUUAGCUAGUUGGCGGGGAAGAGCCCACCAAGGCGACGAUCGGUAGCUGGUCUGAGAGGAUGAUCAGCCACACUGGAACUGAGACACGGUCCAGACUCCUACGGGAGGCAGCAGUGGGGAAUAUUGGACAAUGGGCGCAAGCCUGAUCCAGCAAUGCCGCGUGUGUGAAGAAGGCC